GUGUGUUUAGGUUUUCUGAUUCUUCUUUGGAUUUUUUUGUUUUUCUCUUUCUUCUGACUUGUGUCAUCCCUUCAGCCGGAAGCACAAAGCGGCUCCAGUGGCACUGGCCCCCCUGAAGGCCGUGAAGAGGGGGCGCAGUCGACCCCUGGGUCGGCGAGGCCCAAAUCACCGCUCCCCUGAGCCGCGAAGAGGGGGAGCCCCAUCGGGAAGGAGAGGGGCAGG
rnacentral:lncRNA from 1 species